UGGGGAAUAUUGGACAAUGGGGGAAACCCUGAUCCAGCAAUGCCGCGUGUGUGAAGAAGGCCUGCGGGUUGUAAAGCACUUUCAGUGGGGAGGAAUGGUUAAUUAAUUAAUAAUUAGUUAAUUUGACGUUACCUAAAGAAGAAGCACCGGCUAACUCUGUGCCAGCAGCCGCGGUAAUACAGAGGGUGCGAGCGUUAAUCGGAAUUACUGGGCGUAAAGGGUGCGUAGGUGGUGAUAUAAGUCAGAUGUGAAAUCCCCGAGCUUAACUUGGGAAUUGCGUUUGAUACUGUAUUGCUAGAGUGUUGUAGAGGAAAGUGGAAUUUCCGGUGUAGCGGUGAAAUGCGUAGAUAUCGGAAGGAACACCAGUGGCGAAGGCGGCUUUCUGGACAAACACUGACACUGAGGCACGAAAGCGUGGGUAGCAAACAGGAUUAGAUACCCCCGUAGUCC
rnacentral:rRNA from 1 species